CCUACGGGAGGCAGCAGUGAGGAAUAUUGGUCAAUGGGCGCAAGCCUGAACCAGCCAAGUCGCGUGAGGGAUGAAGGUCCUAUGGAUUGUAAACCUCUUUUGUCGGGGAGCAAGGCCCGCCACGUGUGGCGGGAAGGAGAGUACCCGAAGAAAAAGCAUCGGCUAACUCCGUGCCAGCAGCCGCGGUAAUAAGGAGGAUGCGAGCGUUAUCCGGAUUUAUUGGGUGUAAAGGGCGUGAGGGCGGGAAAGCAAGUCAGAUGUUAAAACUCAGGGCUCAACCCGGAGCCUGCAUUUGAAACUGGUUGUCUUGAGAUGUGGAGAGGCAUGCGGAAUGCCGAGUGUAGCGGUGAAAUGC
rnacentral:rRNA from 1 species